GACGAACGCUGGCGGCGUGCCUAACACAUGCAAGUCAACUUGACUGAAGGAGCAAUCUGACAGUAGAGUGGCGCAAGGGUGCGUAACGCGUAAGUAACUUGCCCAAGGUAAGGAAUAACGUCGAGAAAUCGGCGCUAAUACCUCAUAAUGCAGCGGAUCCGCAUGGAUAUGUUGUUAAAGGUUUACCGCCUUGGAUAGGCUUGCGUCUGAUUAGCUAGUUGGUGUGGUAACGGCACACCAAGGCUACGAUCAGUAACUGGUCUGAGAGGAUGAUCAGUCACACUGGAACUGAGACACGGUCCACGACUCCUACGGAGGCAGCAGUGAGGAAUAUUGGG
rnacentral:rRNA from 1 species